rnacentral:rRNA from 1 species
UGGGGAAUUUUGGACAAUGGGCGAAAGCCUGAUCCAGCAAUGCCGCGUGUGUGAAGAAGGCCUUCGGGUUGUAAAGCACUUUUGUCCGGAAAGAAAUCCUUGGCUCUAAUACAGUCGGGGGAUGACGGUACCGGAAGAAUAAGCACCGGCUAACUACGUGCCAGCAGCCGCGGUAAUACGUAGGGUGCAAGCGUUAAUCGGAAUUACUGGGCGUAAGGCGUGCGCAGGCGGUUUGCUAAGACCGAUGUGAAAUCCCCGGGCUCAACCUGGGAACUGCAUUGGUGACUGGCAGGCUAGAGUAUGGCAGAGGGGGUAGAAUUCCACGUGUAGCAGUGAAAUGCGUAGAGAUGUGGAGGAAUACCGAUGGCGAAGGCAGCCCCCUGGGCCAAUACUGACGCUCAUGCACGAAAGCGUGGGGAGCAAACAGGAUUAGAUACCCUGGUAGUCCACGCCCUAAACGAUGUCAACUAGUUGUUGGGGAUUCAUUUCCUUAGUAACGUAGCUAACGCGUGAAGUUGACCGCCUGGGGAGUACGGUCG